UGGAGUUGUUGCAUUGCUUUGUGGUUGGAGUUGGUGGUUGCUUUGCGAUUGGAGUUGUUGCGUUGCUUUGCGUUUGGAGCUGCUGGUUAGACUUUGUGCCAGUUCUGGGCCUCGAUCAGCAGUAUUUAUGGCUGUGAAUGGGCUAGCGACUGGGCUGCUGCCUGCCGCCUGGCUCUUCUGGAAGUCUACCAAGACACCUACCGCUUCUUGGAAGCUGCUAUGCUGCCUUCCUCUUCUUCUCAUCUACUACUCUGCCUGCUUCUUCCUGGAAACUACUACUCUGCCUGUCUCUUCCUGGAAACUCCUACACUGCCUGGCUCUUGCGAUCUACUACUCUCUCUGCCUCCUUUUCGGAAUCCACUGCGCUGCCUGCCUCCUUUUCGCACUAUACUGUGCUGUCUGCCUCUUUCUUGGACUCUUCUAUGCUGCCUGCCUCUCUUUCUGCAUCUACUACUCCACCUGCCUCUUCCUGCAAUCCACUACGCCGCCUGCCUCCUUUUGGAAACUCCUCCUCAGCUUGCUGCUUCUUUGGAAUACGCUGCGCCACCUGCGUCUGCUCUGCAAUAUCCUACGCCGCCUGCGUCUGCUUUUCAAUACGCUAUACCGUCUGCGGUUGCUGUUCAAUAUUCUACGCCACCUCUCUCUUCUUUGGAAUAUUGUACAUCACCUACCUCUGCUCUGGAAGAUACUACACCACCUCUCCCUUAUAUGGAAUAUGCUAUGCCACCUGCCAUUGGUAUGGAAAAUAUUAUGCUGCCUGACACUUCUGUGGUACAUCCUAAGCUGCCUGCGCCUGCUUCGGUGCAUCCUGCGUCACCUGCCACUGCUACGCAAGAUCCUACGGCACCUGCCACUUCUACAGAGGAUCCUAAGGCACCUGCCACUGCUAUGGACUCUACGACACCACCUGCCUCUUGUAUGGACCAUACUACGCCACCUGGGUCUUCUGUGGAAUAUAACACGCCGCCUGCCUCCUUUGGCAAUAUACCACGGAACCUGGCUCUUUUUAGAAUAUACUGCUCCACCUGGCUCCCUUUGGGCCAUACCACUCUGCCUGGCUCACUUCGGAACCUACCACACCGCCUGGCUCACAGUGGCAUACACUAUGCCGGCUGGCACUGCUUGGAACGUACCACAGCACCUGGCUGUCUUUGGAAUGUACCUUGCUACCUGGCUUUCCUCAGAAUACACCGUGCUGCCGGGCUUUCUUUGGAUGAGAGUGCACAGCCUGGCUCUGUUUGGACUAGAGUAUGCUUGCUGCCUGGCUCUCACUCAAAUAGAGUACACUGCCUGACUUGUUCCAUUAAAUAAAUACUGUCUUUUUGUUUCUAUAACUGUCCUGCAUUUUCUUUGUUGUAUCGUAGAAUGGCUUAGUCUGGAAUGGACCUCAAGGGUCAUCAAGUUCCAAUUCCCCUGCCACUGGCAGGUACUCCAGCUGAGGCCUCUCGAGGGCAGAGUAGAGGCGGACAAUCACCUCCCUCACCCUGCUGGCCAGCCCUCCUCUGAUGCAGCCCAGGAUACCGAGGGCCUUCUGGGCUGCAAGCACACACUGCUGGCUCAGGAAAUUUUUUCACCAACCAGGACCCUUCAGUCCUUCUCAGCAGGCCUACUCUCUAGGAAUUCUUUUGCCAGUUUGUAUAUGUAUCUGGGAUUACCUCUACCUGCAGCGUCUGAUGCACGGGCUCAGAUGUGAACGAUCCAAAGCAUUUAGUACAUGUUCUCACAUCACUUCUAGACCUUCACGAGUUUUCUUUUUCUAGCUUUCCCAUCUGCCCCUACCACUUUCCCAUCCACCUUUCCAUGUCAACAGAACAUUCUACAAACACUCUUCAACAGUUCCUGCGGGCGUUUAUCCAAUCAGAGCCGCGAGCCCUUCUUUCUCCCCCUAGAGGUGGCCUUGGUUCUCGUGCUGUUCAUCUUGCUCCACAGCUGCUGCUCUGAACAGUUUCUCUUGUAUUUCCACACCUACCCAAG
rnacentral:lncRNA from 1 species